rnacentral:rRNA from 1 species
UACGUAGGGUGCAAGCGUUGUCCGGAAUUAUUGGGCGUAAAGAGCUCGUAGGCGGUUUGUCGCGUCGGCUGUGAAAAGCCCGGAGCUCAACUCCGGGUCUGCAGUCGAUACGGGCAGACUUGAGUGUUGCAGGGGAGACUGGAAUUCCUGGUGUAGCGGUGAAAUGCGCAGAUAUCGGGAGGAACACCGGUGGCGAAGGCGGUUCUCUGGGCCUUACCUGACGCUGAGGAGCGAAAGCGUGGGGAGCGAACAGG